rnacentral:rRNA from 1 species
GACGAACGCUGGCGGCGUGCUUAACACAUGCAAGUCGAACGGAAAGGCCCUGCUUUUGUGGGGUGCUCGAGUUGCGAACUGGUGAGUAACACUUGAGUAACCUGCCCUUGACUUUGGGAUAACUUCAUGAAACUUGGGCUAAUACCGGAUAGGAGCUCCUGCUUCAUGGUGGGGGUUGGAUAGUUUCGGCGGUUGGGGAUGGACUCGCGGCUUAUCAGCUUGUUGGUGGGGUAGUGGCUUACCAAGGCUUUGACGGGUAGCCGGCCUGAGAGGGUGACCGGCCACAUUGGGACUGAGAUACGGCCCAGACUCCUACGGGAGGCAGCAGUGGGGAAUAUUGCACAAUGGGCGGAAGCCUGAUGCAGCAACGCCGCGUGCGGGAUGACGGCCUUCGGGUUGUAAACCGCUUUCGCCUGUGACGAAGCGUGAGUGACGGUAAUGGGUAAAGAAGCACCGGCUAACUACGUG